GUGAGGAAUAUUGGACAAUGGGCGCAAGCCUGAUCCAGCCAUGCCGCGUGCAGGAAGACGCAUCUAUGGUGUGUAAACUGCUUUUGUACGGGAAGAAACACUCCCUCGUGAGGGAGCUUGACGGUACCGUAAGAAUAAGGAUCGGCUAACUCCGUGCCAGCAGCCGCGGUAAUACGGAGGAUCCAAGCGUUAUCCGGAAUCAUUGGGUUUAAAGGGUCCGUAGGCGGUUUAAUAAGUCAGUGGUGAAAGCCCAUCGCUCAACGAUGGAACGGCCAUUGAUACUGUUAGACUUGAAUUACAAGGAAGUAACUAGAAUAUGUAGUGUAGCGGUGAAAUGCUUAGAUAUUACAUGGAAUACCAAUUGCGAAGGCAGGUUACUACUUGUGGAUUGACGCUGAUGGACGAAAGCGUGGGGAGCGAACAGGAUUAGAUACCCGUGUAGUCC
rnacentral:rRNA from 1 species